rnacentral:rRNA from 1 species
UUCGGACCUCGCGCUUAUUGGAUGAGCCUGCGUCGGAUUAGCUAGUUGGUGGGGUAAAGGCCUACCAAGGCGACGAUCCGUAGCGGGUCUGAGAGGAUGAUCCGCCACACUGGGACUGAGACACGGCCCAGACUCCUACGGGAGGCAGCAGGUGGGGAAUAUUGCGCAAUGGGGGAAACCCUGACGCAGCAACGCCGCGUGUGUGAAGAAGGCCUUCGGGUCGUAAAGCACUGUUGGGAGGAACGAGCCGCUCGUGGGGAAUAUCUGCGAGCCCGACGGUACCUCCUGAGGAAGCACCGGCUAACUCCGUG